rnacentral:rRNA from 1 species
ACAGGGGGUGCAAACGUUGCUCGGAAUCAUUGGGCGUAAAGCGCACGUAGGCGGUCUGUUAUGUCGGAUGUGAAAGCCCUUGGCUCAACUGAGGAAGUGCAUCCGAAACUGGCAGGCUAGAGUACUAAAGAGGGUCGCGGAAUUCCCGGUGUAGAGGUGAAAUUCGUAGAUAUUCGCAAGAACACCAGUGGCGAAGGCGGCUCACUGGCCCGAUACUGACGCUGAGGCACGAAAGCGUGGGGAGCAAACAGGA